AUGAGCCGCGCGGCCUUUGAUGGAGGGAAGACAGCUGCGGGGUGGAUGUUACAGAGCUCCUCAAAGUUUCCUGUUUGGAUCAUCGAGCAUGUCUGGGCUCAUAAGAUGAUGGAUGUAAAAGACGUCAUUGACCCAUCCAGCUGGCCAGAUGUGGACUCCCAGCCUCUGAGCCUCGAGGACUCGUGGAGGCUGCGCGUCGUCUCUGCCCAGGUUUACUCCAUCAUCAAGAACAGGGAUGUGAGGAACUUUGAGAGAGUGGUGGGCUUUCUGGAGACAACCCACAGACUUCUACCUAGACUGGUGCCUGCCAUCAAACACAUGAAGGUCGUGUUUGGUCUCAAGACCAUGGUCAUUAUGUGGAUGCUGAAGGACGACAAAGGAGUGAUCGACAUUGUGUCUAAAGUUGGAGAGUUCUUCCCUAAUAAACUACCUCAAUAUCAAGAUCAGUGUAGCCAACGUACCAUGUUCCUCAUGAGGAAGAACCACCUUGACUUUAAGAGUCUUGCACAAACACUCGCCAUAAACAAGGACAGACUGGAAGAUUACAUCAAGAACCAGAUGGAGGAGCAGUAUGGGGAACGCUACGCUCAGAAAGUAGAGGACAGGGUUCUGCUCUACCUACAGGAGCUGGAGGCUUCACUAUCAGGAGAGACCUACAUCGAUAAGAUACUGAAGAAACAAAGUCCUGUGACAGCGGAGGAGAAGUUACUCCUGGAGGUUAUAACCUCAGACUCUAAAACCAUUGCAUCGGUACUGAAGAACCUGCUGCACUGUGAUGUUUCUGCCUGUUGGCCUGACAGUGGCCCUCAGCCUCCAGCUGGUGAAGUCUCUCAGCUCUCAAAUACGUCUUUGCACUGGAGCCUUACGAAGUCAGGAGAAGGAGAAACUUCAUCUGAGCUUCAGCCAGAUGUUCUUGGAAAAGGCGGAGAAGCCGGCCCUGAUCUGUCUGAGAGUCCUCUCUUGUUUGUGGAUGAUUCAGAUGCUGGAGAGCAUCGGCCCCCGGAGGAGCAAGAUGAGAGGAUAAAAAUGAAAGACAAAGCAAGAAAUGACGAUAAAGACGGGAGCUGUCAUCGCAAAAGCAGGGAAUGUGGUAGAGAGGCGACUUCCUGUCCUCAGUUCUGCUCCAAACACCAACGAUGGGUGAAAAACAUCCUGCAAGGAUGUUCAGACGAAUGCUCAGAAGAGCUGCUGCUGCAUCAAACCAUGUCUUCAUCUCCUGUGCUGUUCCAGUCAUCGUCCUCCACCUCUUCAUCUCGGGAUCUCACCCCGUCCGACCUGGUCCCCUCUCCUGCUGAUCAGCCACCAUCACAGACCUCUGUCCAGCUUCAGGCGCCAGAAGCAGCUAAAACCAGCUCAGGAUCUCUGAUGGAACGUCUGCCACGGCCCACUUCAUCACAAAACUCUCCACCGCCUCGAAUGUCACCAGUGGUCCAACUGCUGGACAUCGCUUCCCUCUGGAGGAGCCGCCUCAGCUCUCGAUCCCAACAAGAAGGUUUUCAUCAUGUGAUCAAGUUUACCAGCAAACAGUCAUCAUCUCGUUCCAGCUCUCUGGUUUUUGCGCACUGCUGCACAUCAGGAAGGAAAGACUCCAUGUUUGUUUUACCAGAGCCUCGCCGAGCCGCUCGUGUGAAUCAGGACUUUCCUGCUCGCUCCAGCUGUCGGCUUCCGGCACAGAGAAGCUUUUCCACACUCUCAACAAAGUUCAGCCUGACUUCGACCACCAACAGACCAUCUCUGGCUUUAAAGAGGAGAUCUUCAGCUGAGCAGGUUGUGAAGAACCCAGGAGCUUUAUCCAACCGCCUCAUCAAAGAGUCUAAACCUUUUAAUGAAAGUAUCUCAGAGAACAGGUCCUCCCAGGAGGCCGACGGCCAGAACUCCACCAAACCGGAUCUUACAUCGCACACCGAGUCACUUCGGUCCAAACCGCCCUCGUCGCUCGCCGCUAACCCGUCCGCCCCGUACGUGAGACUUACCCGGCUGAGCCUGCAGGAGUGUUUACGAGCGGCAGAAGGAAGGCGGCAGGAAGCGCUCGAGCAAGGCAGCGGUGAUGACGAAAGAGCAACAGAGAUGGAAGAAGACACCGAUUCUUCCUUCGAUGUGAACGCGCUUUUCUCGAGCGAUUCUUUGAGCAGCGGCGACUCGUUUUCCUACGACCCCGACUACAAACCGUGCACUAAAAAAAAAAGACCUCUUUAG
rnacentral:lncRNA from 1 species